UGUAACCCGGAAGUUAAACAACAAAAUUGUCGGGAAAUCUGCUCCGUGAAACCAUCUCAGGCAGCCAAUGGACUUUUUAUUUCAUUUGAGUAAAUAGUGCGUUUGUCUUGAGACUUGUGUAGAACCACAGUGUGUCUCAACGUGGGUUUAACAUGGACGAAUAUGACGAACUGUUCGAAAUCCAAGAUGAGUUCGAGGACCAGUUCGCAGACGAGCUGGAGGUUCUGGCUCAGAUGGAGGGGGAGUCCCCAACACACUUAAACUUGAACUUAAACUGGAGGUGGACUUUGAGCUGGAGUCUCUGAUGGAGAGGAAGGAGGAGGAGCGGGAGGAGCUGAUGGACUGGUGGAAGAUGAUGUCAGAGACACUGAACUUCUGAAGCGCUCGUCUGCUUCGCGAUUGGACCGUUCACACGUCGAGAUAUCUUGCACAGACACACAGGAGGAGAAUUUGCAGGCAGUGUGACAGCAAUGGG